UACGAAGGGGGGCUAGCGUUGCUCGGAAUUACUGGGCGUAAAGCGCACGUAGGCGGCUUCUUAAGUCAGGGGUGAAAUCCCAAGGCUCAACCUUGGAACUGCCUUUGAUACUGGGGAUCUCGAGUCCGGAAGAGGUUGGUGGAACUGCGAGUGUAGAGGUGAAAUUCGUAGAUAUUCGCAAGAACACCAGUGGCGAAGGCGGCCAACUGGUCCGGUACUGACGCUGAGGUGCGAAAGGCGUGGGGAGCAAACAGG
rnacentral:rRNA from 1 species